GACAGAGGUGCCGAGCGUUAGGCGGAAUCACUGGGCUUAAAGCGUGUGUAGGCGGGCGGGCAAGUACCUUGUGAAAUCCCACGGCUCAACCGUGGAACGGCUGGGUAUACUGCCUGUCUUGAGCCAACUAGGGGCGAGCGGAACAGACGGUGGAGCGGUGAAAUGCGUAGAUAUCGUCUGGAACGCCAAAGGUGAAAACAGCUCGCUGGGGUUGUGCUGACGCUGAGACACGAAAGCCAGGGGGGCGAACGGG
rnacentral:rRNA from 1 species